UACAGAGGGGGCAAGCGUUAUUCGGAAUUAUUGGGCGUAAAGGGCUCGUAGGCGGCCAACUAAGUCAGACGUGAAAUCCCUCGGCUUAACCGGGGAACUGCGUCUGAUACUGGAUGGCUUGAGUGUGGGAGAGGGAUGCGGAAUUCCAGGUGUAGCGGUGAAAUGCGUAGAUAUCUGGAGGAACACCGGUGGCGAAGGCGGCAUCCUGGACCAUUACUGACGCUGAUGAGCGAAAGCCAGGGGAGCAAACGGG
rnacentral:rRNA from 1 species